GUGACCUCCUUCCUCAACGUCGCGUUCCACCUUUAUUCCAGUCGACGCCUAUCGCGUCGCGAACCCAGUCGCAGACGAGCUGCUUCUAACCCUAGCUUUGAUCCUCCUCGCCAUGGACACGCAUCAGGCUCUGCCGGAUACCGAUCGCCAGGCGGCUCCGCCUCUGAGGACCCCCCAGCCCUCUCCCCCCCGCUUCAUCACCUCCGCUUCCGCGGGCUCCCACCGCCGGAUCGCUAUCGCCGUCGACCUCAGCGACGAGAGCGCCUACGCCGUGAGGUGGGCUGUCCAGAACUACCUCCGCCCCGGCGACGCCGUCAUCCUCCUCCACGUCCGCCCCACCAGCGUCCUCUACGGCGCUGACUGGGGAGCCGUCGAUCUCACCGUCUCCGUCUCCGUCGCCGCCGACGAUGACGACGCCGCGAACGGGCGUCCCGACUCGCACGAGUCGCAGCGGAAGAUGGAGGAGGACUUCGACGCCUUCACCACGACCAAGGCGCAGGACCUGGCGCAGCCCCUCGUGGAGGCGCAGAUCCCCUUCAAGAUACACAUCGUCAAGGACCACGACAUGAAGGAGCGACUGUGUCUGGAGGUGGAGAGGCUCGGCCCUAGCGCGGUUAUCAUGGGUAGCAGGGGAUUUGGAGCCGCCAGGAGCAUCAGCAAGAGCCGGCUCGGGAGCGUCAGCGAUUAUUGCGUGCAUCACUGCGUUUGCCCCGUUGUGGUGGUUCGUUACCCCGAUGAUGGGGCGGCUGCAGGACCUGCAACUGAUAAUGGAGAGGGCCCAAAGUCAGACGAGGUGGUGGAGAAACACGUGGUGCCGGAGGACGAACAAGAGUUCCACGAUGCUGCUGAGGAACAUAAAGAUGUCUGAGAAAUGCAUAGUAAUGGCAUAUCCAUCUUGUGAUUUAGGGAGUGAUAAGGAACACAAGCCAUGGCGGAAAGCCAACUCAUGUGUUUCUUCUGUUGCAGUGGUUGCUUCUGUUGUAUAGAAUUCCAGCGCGGUGGAUGGACUCGUGAUUGCCGGCAAAUCAAAUCCUACAUAUGCUGCCACGCUCGGCGGCCAGAAGUCAAGAGCACGGACCCUUCAAUUACCACAUCAUUAUCUCAGAAACAUGAACAUGAAAGAGGCAGAAACGUUGAAGCAAUCGAAGAGAAUUCAGCAAUGCAUACACAAUGUCAAACUAAAUAGAAGAGAUCACAGCCGUGAGGAUGUCUUUCGAGUUAGCUCGUGAAAUCGCUCUCUAUUGUUAGCAGCAGCCCUUCAACCUUCGACAUUCUUGUAUCGAUCUGCAUCCACCCCCAAAUCCAAAAAACACAAAAUGCAAUUUGGGAACAGGAAAAGAACUCACUUGGGUCGGAGGAAGACAGCAGCCGAGUCAUGAGAUCGACGUGGCCGUGGACGCGGACAUCGAGCAUGGCGCUGGCGGUGUCGGUGUCGGAGGCCGGCUCCGGGCGAAGGGCGGGCCUCUUGCGAUCCUUGGAGGAACGGAAGGCCGAGGCGCAGGAGCUGGCCUCGUCCUUCGCCGCUGCCGCCAUCGUGGCGCUCGCCGCUGGAGAUGGAGCCGGAGACGGCGGGAGGUAGCUCGGGAGAGACGACGAGCAGGCCAGGUCGUCCUGUGAUCGUUUGUUGGCCGUCAGAUACAAAAAGGAUCGGAGGUUGUGAAGUUUGGGGACAAGACAGCAAUGAAGCGGUUCAGAAUCAUUUGUCCAAAUCGUCGACGACGAGGUGAUAUAAAGGACAGAGUGGAAAGAAGAACAGCAACGGAUUUACCUGCGAGACGGAGAGGUCGGCAUUUCCCCGCAUCCGUUUCAGGAAGCCGCCGCCAUUCCCUAUCCGGCCUGGCUCCUCCUCGCCGUCGCUGCUGCUCGACGAGCUCGCAGCCGGAGGCGGUGUCAGAGACCAUGGCACCACCUGGUUCUCCCCUUCGUCGUCGUCGUCCUCCUCCUCUUCCUCUUCGUCCUCCUCACGAUCCCUUCUUCCGCCUUCUCCCUCUCCCUCCUCCUCGUCGCCGGCGCCACACCCCUCGCCACCGCCGCUGCCCUCGGCCGAGGACGAGGUGGUGGCGGCGCACCGCUCGCAGACUGAGAAGGUGGGGCGCAGCCUGGCGCCCUCCGCGCGCCACGGCGUGGGCGACUGGCAGCUCCGGCAGAGCAGGCACCUGGAGUGGCGCGCCACCAGGAAGUUGGCGCCGUGCACCUUGGCGUCGCACUCCCAGCAUAGGCUCGCCUCAUCCGACUCACAGUGGAUCCUCGCCGGCCGAACGCACAGCUCGCAUUGCUUCACCCUUGUUCCUCCUCUCGGUCGCAUCUUUCGCCCUUCCGAGUUCCUCCUCUCUUCUUCCCCUUCUCCUCUUUCUUGUCUUUUUCUCCUCUCUUCGCGUCGUAGCAAUAACAGUGUCAAACGGUACGGUUUUUUUACUUUUUCUAAGGAUGGAUUGUCGCUUUACCCUUCACUUUCUGUGAUCCGCCCACUCCGGUACGCUUA